rnacentral:tRNA from 1 species
GCAGAGGUCGCCGAGCUAGGUCAAAGGCGUAGGCUUCAGGAGCCUAUCUCGCAGGGGUUCGUGGGUUCAAAUCCCACCCUCUGCACCA